rnacentral:rRNA from 1 species
UACGGAGGGUGCGAGCGUUGUCCGGAAUCACUGGGCGUAAAGGGCGCGUAGGCGGCCUGAUAAGUAGGGGGUGAAAUCCUGCGGCUUAACCGCAGGGCUGCCUUCUAAACUGUCAGGCUGGAGCACAGUAGAGGCAGAUGGAAUUCCCGGUGUAGCGGUGGAAUGCGUAGAGAUCGGGAAGAACAUCAGUGGCGAAGGCGGCCUGCUGGGCUGUUGCUGACGCUGAGGCGCGACAGCGUGGGGAGCAAACAGG